GAUGCUCCGCUACCCGCUGACCAGCCCUGCUCCGUUCCAAUGCAGCACCCACCAGUGUCACUGUCUGCAGUGAUGUCCAGUAACUACAAACGGACAUCAUCUCAAUUAACAAGUUACGGGAACUGGAGUCUGGCUCAGGAGCACCUGGCCUCCCUCACUGCAGCAGGACCCUGCGAUGGAUUAAUUUUGAGCGCUUCUUUUUGUCUCUUGUGGUCUCUUCUCAGUAGACGGGGCAGCCACAUCAGGGAGAGCAAAGCUGUGCGAACAAGACCCAGCCGUCGUUUGUUAAAAUAUGCCGCCUGCACAAAACUCUUCCCCGGGAAGGCAGAGAGGCUCCACCUUGGAGAACGCGCUGGGAAAUUAUAAUUCAUUGAUUUGGAAGCCAAUCAUUUCGUAUUUUGACUGCUGGCUUAGGAAUAUUCAUAUUUUACACCGCAUUUAAAUUUUCCUGUGCCAUUAAAAUCCCCGAGCUCUAUAAUUAGGCCUCUCCUGAUAGUUACGGAUGAGGUCUGUCUUCCAGGGAGAGUAACCAGGAGCCACUGGGAAGCCUGAGUAUGCAGGAGGGCAUCCUCUCAGUGGUGGGCAUUGCCCUCAUCCCAUCCCUUCUCAGGCAGGUAGCUUCACCAACCCUGCGUUCUCCACGGGGAUGGAGUGCAGAGUCUCUAGAGACAAGGCUGCAGCCACCGCCUGCAGCACUCUCCCCUGCUCGGCUCCUGUUUACUCACUCCAACACAAUUUGCAUUCUGAAAGCCGAAUCCUGGACGCCGAUGAUAUUUAUGAAAUAAAAUCCUGCCGGUUGCAGCAUCUAAAACAGA